UCGGGUCUGUGGUUGCAAGCCGAAGCCAGUCGCAGGCAAAACGGUCCACGUAAGUCACCCAAAGCGGCGAUGAGCAUGGUGCGGUUUAGAAGUAAGUCCGACCGGGAUUUCCCGAGAGAGCAGCGUGAGGGCGCAGAAGCGCAGAGCAAAGCUCCUGUCGGCGAGUGUGGGGUCAAAGACCAGGUCAGCCGGU
rnacentral:ncRNA from 1 species